AUGGCUUUAAACGACCCGUCUUGUAACACGGACCAAGGAGUCUAACAUGUGUGCGAGUGUUUGGGUGGUAAACCCUGACGCGGAAUGAAAGUGAAAGGGUGGGUUCACCACCGACCGGCCGUGGCUUGCCAUUGGUCUGAGUAAGAGCAGAUAUGUUGGGACCCGAAAGAUGGUGAACUAUGCCUGAACAGGGUGAAGCCAGGGGAAACUCUGGUGGAGGCUCGUAGCGAUACUGACGUGUAAAUCGUUCGUCGAACCUGGGUAUAGGGGCGAAAG
rnacentral:rRNA from 1 species